UGGUAUGGGUUGAAGUAGCACC
rnacentral:miRNA from 1 species